CAAGCAGUGAACAGACAGAGCUGUGGGUUUAUUAUCCUUAUAUACACAUUCUUACACAUUAGUACCACCCACAGGGUUUUACACAACAACCAAUCAUAAACGUACAUUACAGAAACACUCCCAGCAAUUACACACAAAAAUCCUCCCCUCUGCCUGUGAUAUAAUUAUGUUGCACAAUGGUUUAACAUAAUUAAACACAGGCAGUAAAAAUACAGUUUUUAUCCAUACACUGUAACUUUAAAACUACACAUCCAAUCUUUGGAAUACAUAUUUGGAAUCAGCACACUUUAAACAUAAACAUAACCAAAAAUCAGCCAAAUCCAUCCAGGGGUUAAAAAGUUAGCUGGAGGUCCCUUUAUGACCGACUGCAAGCACAUUUUCAUGCCCAAAACAGUUCCAUAGAUUUGGGCUGUGCGGCCGGUCUAUUUCAGGCUGAAAAAACUACUAAGUCUCAUCGCCGAAUGGGACUUAGUCUCUGCAGCUGUAAAAUCAUUGUGGGAGAAGGUAGGGCUCAGCGGUGUUCGCGGAAAUGUGUAGCCGAUUUUAGUUCCAUGAAUUUGGCUACACAUACCGCUGACCUUGUUCGCAUCAACAAAGAUGGCCGCCGCCACGUGUUUGGCAAACGAACAAAGGCCACCCAGCGUUCGGCAAUUAAGCUGCGGUUAACCACAGCUUCUGGGAGGUAAAUUGCCGACACACUCCCAAGACAGGUGGUCCG